rnacentral:tRNA from 1 species
CUUAGCCAAGUGGUAAGGCAAUUGACUGCAACUCAAUGAGCGUCGGUUCGACUCCGUCA